rnacentral:rRNA from 1 species
UAAGGAAUAUUGGUCAAUGGGCGAAAGCCUGAUCCAGCCAUUCCGCGUGCAGGAUGAAGGCCCUCGGGUUGUAAACUGCUUUUGUACGGAACGAAAAGGUCUCUACUAAUACUAGGGGCUCAUGACGGUACCGUAAGAAUAAGCACCGGCUAACUACGUGCCAGCAGCCGCGGUAAUACGUAGGGUGCAAGCGUUAAUCGGAAUUACUGGGCGUAAAGCGUGCGCAGGCGGUUAUAUAAGGCAGAUGUGAAAUCCCCGGGCUCAACCUGGGAACUGCAUUUGUGACCGUAUAGCUAGAGUACGGCAGAGGGGGAUGGAAUUCCGCGUGUAGCGGUGAAAUGCGUAGAUAUGCGGAGGAACACCGAUGGCGAAGGCAAUCCCCUGGGCCUGUACUGACGCUCAUGCACGAAAGCGUGGGGAGCAAACAGG